rnacentral:rRNA from 1 species
GAUGAACGCUGACAGAAUGCUUAACACAUGCAAGUCUUUGGCGAAGCUGUGCUUGCACCGCCUAGCCAAGGCGGACGGGUGAGUAACGCGUAAGGAACUUGCCCUGCAGUCAGGGAUAACAGACGGAAACGACUGAUAAGACCUGGUAAAGUCAGGCGGACUCAUGUCCAGCCUGAUGAAAAGAGAUGCUGCAGGAGAGCCUUGCGUCCUAUUAGCUUGUUGGUGGGGUAACGGCCCACCAAGGCGAUGAUAGGUAGCCGGCCUGAGAGGGUGGACGGCCACAAGGGGACUGAGAUACGGCCCUUACUCCUACGGGAGGCAGCAGUGGGGAAUAUUGGACAAUGGGGGCAACCAUGAUCCAGCAAUUCUGUGUGCACGAUGAAGGUUUUCGGAUUGUAAAGUGCUUUCAGCAGGGAAGAAAAAAUGACGGUACCUGCAGAAGAAGCGACGGCUAAAUACGUG